rnacentral:rRNA from 1 species
UUUGGUUAAGUUAGAAAGGGCGCACGGUGGAUGCCUUGACACUAGGAGUCGAUGAAGGACGGGACUAACGCCGAUAUGCUUCGGGGAGCUGUAAGUAAGCUUUGAUCCGAAGAUUUCCGAAUGGGGAAACCCACCAUACGUAAUGGUAUGGUAUCCUUACCUGAAUACAUAGGGUAAGGAAGACAGACCCAGGGAACUGAAACAUCUAAGUACCUGGAGGAAGAGAAAGCAAAUGCGAUUUCCUGAGUAGCGGCGAGCGAAACGGAACAUAGCCCAAACCAAGAGGCUUGCCUCUUGGGGUUGUAGGACAUUCUAUACGGAGUUACAAAGGAACGAGGUAGACGAAGCGACCUGGAAAGGUCCGUCGUAGAGGGUAACAACCCCGUAGUCGAAACUUCGUUCUCUCUUGAAUGUAUCCUGAGUACGGCGGAACACGUGAAAUUCCGUCGGAAUCUGGGAGGACCAUCUCCCAAGGCUAAAUACUCCCUAGUGAUCGAUAGUGAACCAGUACCGUGAGGGAAAGGUGAAAAGCACCCCGGAAGGGGAGUGAAAGAGAUCCUGAAACCGUGUGCCUACAAAUAGUCAGAGCCCGUUAAUGGGUGAUGGCGUGCCUUUUGUAGAAUGAACCGGCGAGUUACGAUCCCGUGCGAGGUUAAGCUGAAGAGGCGGAGCCGCAGCGAAAGCGAGUCUGAAUAGGGCGUUUAGUACGUGGUCGUAGACCCGAAACCAGGUGAUCUACCCAUGUCCAGGGUGAAGUUCAGGUAACACUGAAUGGAGGCCCGAACCCACGCACGUUGAAAAGUGCGGGGAUGAGGUGUGGGUAGCGGAGAAAUUCCAAUCGAACCUGGAGAUAGCUGGUUCUCCCCGAAAUAGCUUUAGGGCUAGCCUUAAGUGUAAGAGUCUUGGAGGUAGAGCACUGAUUGAACUAGGGGUCCUCAUCGGAUUACCGAAUUCAGUCAAACUCCGAAUGCCAAUGACUUAUCCUUAGGAGUCAGACUGCGAGUGAUAAGAUCCGUAGUCAAGAGGGAAACAGCCCAGAUCGCCAGCUAAGGUCCCAAAGUGUGUAUUAAGUGGAAAAGGAUGUGGAGUUGCUUAGACAACUAGGAUGUUGGCUUAGAAGCAGCCACCAUUUAAAGAGUGCGUAAUAGCUCACUAGUCGAGUGACUCUGCGCCGAAAAUGUACCGGGGCUAAAUACACCACCGAAGCUGCGAAUUGAUACCAAUGGUAUCAGUGGUAGGGGAGCGUUCUAAGUGCAGUGAAGUCAGACCGGAAGGACUGGUGGAGCGCUUAGAAGUGAGAAUGCCGGUAUGAGUAGCGAAAGACGGGUGAGAAUCCCGUCCACCGAAUGCCUAAGGUUUCCUGAGGAAGGCUCGUCCGCUCAGGGUUAGUCAGGACCUAAGCCGAGGCCGACAGGCGUAGGCGAUGGACAACAGGUUGAUAUUCCUGUACCACCUCUUUAUCGUUUGAGCAAUGGAGGGACGCAGAAGGAUAGAAGAAGCGUGCGAUUGGUUGUGCACGUCCAAGCAGUUAGGCUGAUAAGUAGGCAAAUCCGCUUAUCGUGAAGGCUGAGCUGUGAUGGGGAAGCUCCUUAUGGAGCGAAGUCUUUGAUUCCCCGCUGCCAAGAAAAGCUUCUAGCGAGAUAAAAGGUGCCUGUACCGCAAACCGACACAGGUAGGCGAGGAGAGAAUCCUAAGGUGUGCGAGAGAACUCUGGUUAAGGAACUCGGCAAAAUGACCCCGUAACUUCGGGAGAAGGGGUGCUUUCUUAACGGAAAGCCGCAGUGAAUAGGCCCAAGCGACUGUUUAGCAAAAACACAGGUCUCUGCGAAGCCGUAAGGCGAAGUAUAGGGGCUGACACCUGCCCGGUGCUGGAAGGUUAAGGAGAGGGGUUAGCGUAAGCGAAGCUCUGAACUGAAGCCCCAGUAAACGGCGGCCGUAACUAUAACGGUCCUAAGGUAGCGAAAUUCCUUGUCGGGUAAGUUCCGACCCGCACGAAAGGUGUAACGAUUUGGGCACUGUCUCAACCAGAGACUCGGUGAAAUUAUAGUACCUGUGAAGAUGCAGGUUACCCGCGACAGGACGGAAAGACCCCGUGGAGCUUUACUGUAGCCUGAUAUUGAAUUUUGGUACANNUGUAUUGAAAUUCUAACCUACGGGUCUUAUCGACCCGGGAGACAGUGUCAGGUGGGCAGUUUGACUGGGGCGGUCGCCUCCUAAAGUGUAACGGAGGCGCCCAAAGGUUCCCUCAGAAUGGUUGGAAAUCAUUCGUAGAGUGCAAAGGCAUAAGGGAGCUUGACUGCGAGACCUACAAGUCGAGCAGGGACGAAAGUCGGGCUUAGUGAUCCGGUGGUUCCGCAUGGAAGGGCCAUCGCUCAACGGAUAAAAGCUACCCCGGGGAUAACAGGCUUAUCUCCCCCAAGAGUCCACAUCGACGGGGAGGUUUGGCACCUCGAUGUCGGCUCAUCGCAUCCUGGGGCUGUAGUCGGUCCCAAGGGUUGGGCUGUUCGCCCAUUAAAGCGGUACGCGAGCUGGGUUCAGAACGUCGUGAGACAGUUCGGUCCCUAUCCGUCGUGGGCGUAGGAAAUUUGAGAGGAGCUGUCCUUAGUACGAGAGGACCGGGAUGGACGCACCGCUGGUGUACCAGUUGUUCUGCCAAGGGCAUAGCUGGGUAGCUAUGUGCGGAAGGGAUAAGUGCUGAAAGCAUCUAAGCAUGAAGCCCCCCUCAAGAUGAGAUUUCCCAUAGCGUAAGCUAGUAAGAUCCCUGAAAGAUGAUCAGGUUGAUAGGUUCGAGGUGGAAGCAUGGUGACAUGUGGAGCUGACGAAUACUAAUAGAUCGAGGACUUAACCAUAUAA